UUCGGAAUUAUUCGAUAUUCUUCAAUUGAUUGCUUAUGUAUGUAUAUCUUGCUUUAAACUCGCUGUAGGAUGAAAUUUUUCGCAAUUCUAAUCGUCGCGGUGACUCUGGCUGAAUUGGGUGGUUGUACUCCGGCCGGUUCAUCAAGUCCGGAUCGCUGCAGUAAUAAUCAAUGUGAUCAUGUGAGCAAUCCUUGCCGUCCAAGUCCCUACUACUGCGAUAUUUUCACCCAGCGAUGCGUCUGUUCGGAAACGGCUAUUGAGAACGUUUUACGAGAUGUAGUUCACUCGAUCGGUGACCUUCUUUGAUAGGGAUUGGGUGCUGCCGGUGAAAACAUCGAUAGAGGAAUAAUGGCAGGUGUUAUACAUAUAUGUAGCAAAUCCAAUUGUAAGUAGUUCAUGUAGAUUAAAAGUUCCAUCUGAUGGAAAGACUAUGUAGAUUUAGUGUAACCACGAAUUAGUAAUUAUUUAUAUGUAGUUAAUUACGCUCUACUGUUCUUUUCGAGUAUUUAAAUAUACGGGAGAAUUGCCGUAAUAUGUUAUGCAUUUAUGUAGAAAAUUCUAAACAACCCAAUCCAGGAAAAAAAUGCGUUUGUAUAUAGAUACCUAUGUACAUAUGUAUGUAUUUACGUAAUAUACUUAUUUCUUCGGAUUUCGUUUGCUGGAGACCUGCCAAAUAAAAAUAAAUUCUGAAAUUUUCAUCCAUUA